rnacentral:rRNA from 1 species
UUAUGGCUCAGGACGAACGCUGGCGGCGUGCUUCAUACAUGCAAGUCGAACGAGAAGCUGACUUCGGUCAGUGGAAAGUGGCGGACGGGUGAGUAAUAUGUAGAGAAUCUGCCCUUGAGUGGGGGACAACAGAGGGAAACUUCUGCUAAUACCCCAUAUGAGCUAACUUGAAAUAGUUAUCUUGAAAACUCCGGUGCUCAAGGAUGAGUCUGCAUCUGAUUAGCUAGUUGGCGGUGUAAUGGACCACCAAGGCGACGAUCAGUAGCUGGUUUGAGAGGAUGAUCAGCCACAAUGGGACUGAGACACGGCCCAUACUCCUACGGGAGGCAGCAGUAGGGAAUUUUGCGCAAUGGGCGAAAGCCCUGACGCAGCAACGCCGCGUGAACGAUUAAGCCCUUCGGGGUGUAAAGUUCUGUCAGUAGGGACGAAUUUUGACGGUACCUACAGAGGAAGCACCGGCUAACUCCGUGCCAGCCGCGGC